CCUGACAGCUCAGCUGGUAAAGAAUCUGCCUGCAACGCAGGAGAGCCAGGUUCAAUCCCUGGGUCGGGA
rnacentral:tRNA from 1 species